rnacentral:rRNA from 1 species
UACGUAGGGUGCAAGCGUUAAUCGGAAUUACUGGGCGUAAAGCGUGCGUAGGUGGUGAGUUAAGUCUGUCGUGAAAGCCCCGGGCUCAACCUGGGAAUGGCGAUGGAUACUGGCUCGCUAGAGUGCGGUAGAGGAGAGUGGAAUUCCCGGUGUAGCAGUGAAAUGCGUAGAGAUCGGGAGGAACAUCAGUUGCGAAGGCGGCUCUCUGGACCAGCACUGACACUGAGGCACGAAAGCGUGGGGAGCAACAGG